rnacentral:rRNA from 1 species
UAAGACGAACUGUGCGAACGUUAUUCGGAAUCACUGGGCUUACAGGGUGCGUAGGCGGCUUGUUAAGUAGGGUGUGAAAUCCCCCGGCCCAACCGGGGAAUGGCGCUCUAAACUAGCAGGCUUGAGUGAGCUAGGGGUACACGGAACUUCCAGUGGAGCGGUGAAAUGUGUUGAUAUUGGAAGGAACACCGGAGGCGAAAGCGGUGUACUGGGGCUCAACUGACGCUGAGGCACGAAAGCCAGGGUAGCGAACGGGAUUAGAUACCCCGGUAGUCCUGGCCGUAAACGAUGAGCACUGGGCGGGAGAAGGUUCGCCUUUUCCGGCCGUAGCGAAAGCGUUAAGUGCUCCGCCUGGGGAGUAUGGUCGCAAGGCUG